rnacentral:rRNA from 1 species
GGCUCAGGAUGAACGCUAGCUACAGGCUUAACACAUGCAAGUCGAGGGGCAUCAUGGUGGUAGCUUGCUACCGCUGAUGGCGACCGGCGCACGGGUGAGUAACACGUAUCCAACCUGCCUUGAGCUCAGGGAUAGCCCUCUGAAAGGAGGAUUAAUACCUGAUGUGGUUGUUGGCUGACAUCAGCUUUCAAUUAAAGAUUUAUCGGCUCAUGAUGGGGAUGCGUCUGAUUAGCUUGUUGGCGGGGUAACGGCCCACCAAGGCGACGAUCAGUAGGGGUUCUGAGAGGAAGGUCCCCCACAUAGGAACUGAGACACGGUCCUAACUCCUACGGGAGGCAGCAGUGAGGAAUAUUGGUCAAUGGUCGAGAGACUGAACCAGCCAAGUAGCCGUGAAGGAUGACUGCCCUACGGGUUGUAAACUUCUUUUGCCGCAGAGUAAACCCGGGGACGUGUCCCCGGUUGAGAGUAUGCGGCGAAUAAGUAUCGGCUAACUCCGUGCCAGCAGCCGC